UUGUUAGUUUUAGUUUAUUUUUAUUUUUAGGAUUAUGUGCCUUUUGCAUCAUGCUUAUGUGAUAUUUAGAAUAAUAUCUUUAAUCGAAACUUUUGGAUCUUGCUUUAUUCUUGUUUAGAAUAAUAUAUCGAGUAGAUUUAUUAAAGGAUAGGUAUGUUGUGAUAAAUUAAUCGUCAAAAGUUAUAGCUAUUUCAUAACUUAAAUCUUCAGAUUAAUUACUUGGCUAAGAUGUCAGGUAAUAGUGUAUACUUUAACUGUUUUUAGGUUUAAUUAGGGUUAAAAUUACCCUUUUAUAAAAAUAGUGUUAUAACUUUUUACAUUUUGUUUUUAAGUUACUUUUUGGUAGUUAUGUAAUUUAAUUAUUUGCUAUUAUAAAUGCUUAAAUAAGUAAUAUUAAUAUUUAUAUUAUUUCUCAAAGUUUGUCCGUCUGUUUAUUAAAAACAUUGUCAUAAUUAAUAUUUUAUGAUAGUACCUGCCCUAUGUAUUUAUAAAUGGCCGCAGUAUCUUGACUGUGCGAAGGUAGCAUAAUUAAUUGCCUUAUAAUUGAAGGCUUGUUUGAAUGGUUUGACGUGAUAAUUCUAAAUAUUAUAAAUUUUAUUGAAAUUAUUAUAGAGGGCACAGAAACCUCUAAAAUUAAUUAGACGGAAAGACCCCAGGAUCUUUUAUUUUUUGCUUGGGGCAAGUUGUAGUUUUUUACUCCAAUUAAGACCCUUAUGGUAUAAUGAGUUAAGUUACCCUGGGGAUAACAGUAUUAUAAUUUAAUAGAGAUCUUAUCGAUUAAAUUGUUUGUUACCUCGAUGUUGACUUAGGUUUUAUUUCAGGCGCAGUAGUUUGAAAAUUAGGUCUGUUCGACCUUAUAAAUCUCCAUGAGUUGAGUUAAGACCGGCGUAAGCCAGGUCGGUUCUUAUCUAUUUUUCUUGCUUGCUAGUACGAAAGGAUCGCAAGCUUUUUUAUU
rnacentral:rRNA from 1 species